rnacentral:piRNA from 1 species
GACUGUGAACACGCAGGCUGAGGGCUGUG